rnacentral:rRNA from 1 species
GAUGAACGCUGGCGGCGUGCCUAAUACAUGCAAGUCGAGCGAACAGAUGAGGAGCUUGCUCCUCUGACGUUAGCGGCGGACGGGUGAGUAACACGUGGAUAACCUACCUAUAAGACUGGGAUAACUUCGGGAAACCGGAGCUAAUACCGGAUAAUAUAUUGAACCGCAUGGUUCAAUAGUGAAAGACGGUUUUGCUGUCACUUAUAGAUGGAUCCGCGCCGCAUUAGCUAGUUGGUAAGGUAACGGCUUACCAAGGCAACGAUGCGUAGCCGACCUGAGAGGGUGAUCGGCCACACUGGAGCUGAGCCGCGGUCCAGACUCCUACGGGAGGCAGCAGUAGGGAAUCUUCCGCAAUGGGCGGAAGCCUGACGGAGCAACGCCGCGUGAGUGAUGAAGGUCUUCGGAUCGUAAAACUCUGUUAUUAGGGAAGAACAAAUGUGUAAGUAACUAUGCACGUCUUGACGGUACCUAAUCAGAAAGCCACGGCUAACUACGUG